UGAAACACUCGCCGCUGCGUGGCCGUGUUCUCAGGUGACUCUGACACGUUCCCACACACACCGAAGACACCGAUACUCAGGUGUUUACGUUGAUGGAACAGAUUAAAGCGACAAACUGAGAUCAACCGCUGAGGUCGGCGACGUGAACAAAACUUUGAUGGAGCGUUACGAGUCUCUGGGUCCCGUCGGGGAGGGCAGUUACGGCACCGUGCUCAAGUGCCGUCAUCGACACUCCGGUCGCUUGGUCGCCAUCAAGAAAUUCAUGGACUCGGAAGAUGAUGAGGCAGUGAAGAAGAUCGCCCUCAGGGAAAUCAAGCUGCUCAGGCAACUGCGUCACGACAAUCUGGUGAACCUCCUGGAGGUGUGGAAGCGCCGUCGUCGCUGGUACCUGGUGUUUGAGUUCGUGGACCGGACGCUUCUAGAUGAACUGCAGCAGUGCUCAAGCAGAUUGAACCUUAACACCUGUCGGCAGUACUUAUUCCAGGUCCUUAGAGCUGUCAACUUUUGUCAUCAGCAAGAUGUCAUCCAUCGUGACAUCAAACCUGAGAACAUCCUCAUCUCUCAAGAGGGUGUGGUCAAACUGUGUGAUUUUGGCUUUGCCCGAACCAUUGCAUCGCCCUCUGAAGGUGGUGUGUAUACCGACUACGUAGCCACUCGUUGGUACAGAGCUCCCGAACUGCUUGUAGGGGACAUCAAGUAUGGAAAACCGGUAGAUGUUUGGGCGCUGGGUUGUGUGUUAAUAGAAAUGCUGACCGCACAACCUCUGUUUCCCGGAGACUCCGACCUUGACCAGAUAUACCACAUUGUCAGAUGUUUUGGUAACUUGACGGCUCAUCACCAGGAGUUAUUUUACAGAAAUCCAGUCUUUUCUGGAGUUAAACUACCUGAAUGUUCAAAAAUUGUCCCACUGCAACAACGCUUCUCCAAAGUUCCACCAACUGCCCUUGAUCUGGCACAGAAAUGUCUAGAGAUGGACCCAAAAAUACGAGCUCAGUGUUCAGACCUGUUAGAGCAUCUUCUGUUUACUCAAGACUCUUUCAACAUCAGGCCCGAGAAAAGAGUUUUGUAAGUGAAAGGUCUAAAAACAUCGUCCAUUUCCCAGAUGUAAGAAACUCCCUGUUGCUCAGUGGAAAAGAAGCUAAACAGAGCAAAGGUGUUACCAAGGAACAGAGGACAGAAAAGACUCCAGUCUCACUCAGUCCACCAUCAGAAGGACAAUAUGGACAAAACUUCAACACAAAUGCGCCAAAACAGAUGGAGUAAAAGGAGUUCCCCCUCCCAAACUGAUAUACUGAUUUUAAUUUUUUAUUUUUAUUAUUUAAUCAUGGUGAUGUAAACACUGCUGAACUAUACUUCAAAUACUGACUUUAAAUUCCUAAAAUGUUAAACUUUGAGUAUGAGAACACAUUUAUAGUUAUCAUUUCCUUUAACAACCUUUGAUUAUUGAAAACUGUUAAUGAAUUAUUUAUUUUGGUAUUUUCGUGGUACAACACAACACAGGAAACUUUAAAACAAUGAAUGCAACUUUCCCCCCAAAUAAAUCAACAAUAAAUCAGCUGUAAAAACAUGUUGGGUGUGUCUUAUUGGUCACAGGUAUAAAAACGGAAACUUCUGUAAACUUUAAGAAAUCCAACCCAUAAAACAAACUCAUUACAACAGUUGAGUAUACUGACAACUUUCCCACUGGUUUCUGUAUUUAGCAUCAGUCUUAAGUUAUUUAAGAAAUAAACAAGCUCAUGGUUUAAUCCUACGACUCAUCACUUGAAUCUACUGAUGUAAUGGCCCUAAGUUUCCAGACUGGCGCUGACUCCUCACUGCUCGACAUCACAUUCAGUCUCCUGAUUGGCUGAGAGCCAGCCGAACGCCCUCUGGCAUUGGCCAGCAGCUGGUAGAGGAGCCUGAGAGCUUGGUUGGUGUUGUGGUUUCUGAUUGGCCCUCCAGCAAUUGGUUGUUCUCUGAUUGGUACCUUGGUUACCGGCUUCCUUGCCGACGAUUGGACCACGGACCUUUGGGUUGUGAUGA